rnacentral:rRNA from 1 species
UACGUAGGGGACAAGCGUUAUCCGGAUUUAUUGGGCGUAAAGCGCACGCAGGCGGCUCUUCAAGUCUGACGUGAAAUCUCUCGGCUUAACCGGGAGCGGUCGUUGGAAACUGAAGGGCUUGAGGCGAGGAGAGGGGUGUGGAAUUCCCGGUGUAGUGGUGGAAUGCGUAGAUAUCGGGAGGAACAUCAGUGGCGAAGGCGGCUCCCUGGCAUUAGCCUGACGCUCAUGUGCGAAAGCGUGGGGAGCGAACGGG